AUUCUCUAAAACUUACAGGAGGGGGUUGUGAGGACAGUGCUGCAUUAGCAGAAAAACAACUCCAUAAAAGGAAAGCGGCCUUGGGUGUUCUAGUCUCUUCGCUUGCAGAUAUCUUGCACCUGCAGAAUGAGGCGAUCGCUUCUUAUCGCUCUCAAGGCCAAAGUCGUGAGCACAUAUUUUUAUUACACAGUUGCACAGUAACUUUAAAGCUGAACAAUAUUUAAAGCUGAAUAAUGUUUGAUCAGAUUAUAUUUUCUUCAAAUCCCCCUUUUGACCCAUCUUAAAUGGGUCAACACACAAAAAUAAGUAACAUUCAAAGGAACACAGAGACGUGUCGAAGCCUGGCUCGAAAAACUCCUCGGGUCUUUUCAUUUGUCUUUAUCUGUCAUUGCAGAUGAGGAGAAAAGAGUCCAGGCACCACCCUGCCCAGGGGUCGGCUGCAAGCAGUCUCGGUUCCCGACGAAAGCAGUAACAGCUGUCCUGCACACAAGGGUACAACGAGUUAGUGCAACCAGGUGAUUUACCAGGAACAUCUUUUCCUUUUCUCCAUGUCUUCCGCCAGAGGUUAACACUGGUGAGAUUCAGGGACACAGCACCCAGAGCAGGCUGGUGUGUGGAGUUGAUGACUGUCUCAACACAUGUUAAUUGUUCUCCCAAUGUGCUAAGCAUAACACCGGGACCCCAACCAUCAUCAUUAGUUUCUCGAUCUAAUUCUCCAUCCAUUUUACUGUCAAUGGAGGAGUGUUCUUUUAUUGCUUUUAAAGGAGAAUUUGGGCCAGCUGGGUUUCUGCCUCUGUUAGGCACUAAUCAGCUGGGGCGCUGCUUUAAAGGUGAGUCAGCACUGAAAUAUCCCUUCAGGUGUUACCAAGCUUCUACCAAACCGGAGUCUGGCGGGUAACCUUGCCUAGAGCUUCCUGAUAGGGGUGCUAGUUGGUUGUCACCUUGUUCACACGUCUCAUUCACACUUCAUACAUUACCUGCAGUCACUCAUUACCCUCCUUAUGUAUGUAAUAAAUGUGUAAAAAAAAAAUUCUAUGUGUGGUGUAUUAUUUUAACCAAAAGAGGAACCUAGUUCCUUUAAUUGUGUAAUCUGUGAACAACGGAGAACCAAACUGUCCUGCCCAGUGUUCCACAGCAAGCAUUCAGCGUGUAUUUAUGUGUG
ensembl:lncRNA